UAGGGAAUCUUCGGCAAUGGGGGCAACCCUGACCGAGCAACGCCGCGUGAGUGAAGAAGGUUUUCGGAUCGUAAAGCUCUGUUGUAAGAGAAGAACGUGUGUGAGAGUGGAAAGUUCACACAGUGACGGUAACUUACCAGAAAGGAACGGCUAAAUACGUGCCAG
rnacentral:rRNA from 1 species